rnacentral:lncRNA from 1 species
AGGUGUUCUGCAUCUUCAGAGCUACUUCCCUUCCUCUUCCCUUUUCUGACUGAAGGUAAACUGGAUAUUUCAGCUUUUUCCCAUUUUUUUUUCUUUUCCUUUGAGAGUGGCUUUUAGGGUUUAGCAAUCUGUACUUCAGAGCCCUCAGAUGUGGUCCUGGAUCUUCUCAUUUUACAGAUGCUCCCCUUGCUUGUGCCCAUUGGCUCUUUUUGAUCUGGAUAUUGUCUUCUUUCUUCAUUCUGCCUUUCUGCUUUUUCUUUUUUCUGUAACUUCUUUUUCUAUUCUUCUGUAACAAUGCUAUGAUUAGUUUUUAUUUCACUUCAACGACAUCUACGUGCAUUUUAAUGUUAAAUAAUGUGCCAACCACUAUAAGGGCACGAAUGAGCUUAUUUUUUUAUAGUCUCAGGAAAUAAACCAGGUUUUCUUGGUGCUUCCUCUGGUAGGUUGUUCAGAAACUGAAAUAAAAUCAGUAAAAAAAAAAAAAAAGUUGGUUACUAUAUGAAACACUUCAAAUUUUCCUUGCUUUUCUUUAUAAGUUCUGGAUCUACCUCAAUAUUUUGCUGCUUGUUCUUUUGUUUCAAAUUCCACAAAGGCAGAUCCCUUUGGAUUUCCAGUAGACUUAUAAUGUGGUAGACUUCUAUAAAAAGACAUGGCCACAUUUUCCAGAUACUCUUUCAAUCCAGCUGUGAUUUUGGGAAGUAACUCCUAUAUGUUUAACUUCUAAGUAAGAAUUGCUUACAUAUUUACUUGGAAUGUUAAAAAA